UGUAGUAGAAGUCACACUUUGAAGAGUUCACGUUGCAUAGAAAGACGAUGAAAUGCUAUAUGUUGAGUCCAUCAUUGCUCCAUUGGAGACAGAGCUGAAGCUUGCUGCAGGUAACCAAGUUGCAGGAUGAAAACAGAACACUUGAUCUACAUGUAAACCUUCAAUUUCCAUAUGAAGUUUGCAUUUUCGUUGUUUCUGGAAUUUGAGUUUUUGCAGGAUGAAAACAGAACACUUGAUCUGCAGGCAAAACAAAGACGUUUGCAAGGGAGCAACCCUGGGUUUAUUUGUUCUUUUACUACUGGUCAUUGCCGCAUAUCACGCCUAUAGCACUGACAAAAGUAAAAAGAAAAUCGAAUGAAAUUUGGUAAGUUUUCAGCGGACUACAAAGAUCUUAAGCCAAGCAUAUAUUCCCAUUCAGAUAUUAAGAGGUUUACAAAUCAAUUCAAGUACAAGUUGGGCCAAGGAGCAUACAUAAUUGUUUUUAAAGGAUAGUUUUUUUCUGAAUGCUUUGUUGCCAUGAAAGUACUUAACAUUUCCAAGGGUGACGGGGAAGAGCUUGUAAAUGAAGUGGGGAACAAUGGGCCAUAUUCACCAUGUCAAUGUGGUUCACUUGGUUGGUUUUUGUGCUGAUGGAUUUAGAUGAGCUCUGGUUUAUGAGUUCUUUUCCUUUGGUUCACUCCAGGAUUAUAUUUCAUCAGUAGAUAGAUUUCUUUCCUUGGUUGGCAUAAGUUGCAAGAUAUUGCUAUCAGCAUAGCCAAAGGAACCAGGGAUGUGAUCUACAAAUCCUCCAUUUCGAUAUCAAACCCCAUAAUGU